UACGAAGGGGGCUAGCGUUGUCCGGAAUCACUGGGCGUAAAGGGCGCGUAGGUGGCGACCCAAGUCUGUGGUGAAAGCUCGCCGCUUAACGGCGAGUCGGCCACGGAUACUGGGUGGCUCGAGCACUGUAGGGGCAGAUGGAAUUCCGGGUGUAGCGGUGGAAUGCGUAGAGAUCCGGAAGAACACCAGUGGCGAAGGCGAGUCUCUGGGAUGAUGCUGACGCUGAGGCGCGAAAGCCAGGGGAGCAAACGGG
rnacentral:rRNA from 1 species